rnacentral:rRNA from 1 species
AGCGAACGCUGGCGGCAGGCCUAACACAUGCAAGUCGAACGAACUCUUCGGAGUUAGUGGCGGACGGGUGAGUAACACGUGGGAACGUGCCUUUUGGUUCGGAAUAACUCAGGGAAACUUGUGCUAAUACCGAAUGUGCCCUUCGGGGGAAAGAUUUAUCGCCAUUAGAGCGGCCCGCGUCUGAUUAGCUAGUUGGUGAGGUAACGGCUCACCAAGGCGACGAUCAGUAGCUGGUCUGAGAGGAUGACCAGCCACACUGGGACUGAGACACGGCCCAGACUCCUACGGGAGGCAGCAGUGGGGAAUCUUGCGCAAUGGGCGAAAGCCUGACGCAGCCAUGCCGCGUGAAUGAUGAAGGUCUUAGGAUUGUAAAAUUCUUUCGCCGGGGACGAUAAUGACGGUACCCGGAGAAGAAGCCCCGGCUAACCUCGUG